rnacentral:rRNA from 1 species
UACGUAGGGGGCAAGCGUUGUCCGGAAUUAUUGGGCGUAAAGGGCGUGUAGGCGGCCAGACAGGUCCGUUGUGAAAACUCGAGGCUCAACCUCGAGAUGUCGAUGGAAACCGUCUGGCUAGAGUCCGGAAGAGGAGUGUGGAAUUCCUGGUGUAGCGGUGAAAUGCGCAGAUAUCAGGAAGAACACCUAUGGCGAAGGCAGCACUCUGGGACGGUACUGACGCUGAGACGCGAAAGCGUGGGGAGCGAACAGG